AUUGAACACUGGCGGAAUGCUUUACACAUGCAAGUCGAACGGCAGCACGGACUUCGGUCUGGUGGCGAGUGGCGAACGGGUGAGUAAUGUAUCGGAACGUGCCCAGUCGUGGGGGAUAACGUAGUGAAAAUUACGCUAAUACAGCAUACGAUCUCUGGAUGAAAGCGGGGGAUCGCAAGACCUCGCGCGAUUGGAGCGGCCGAUAUCAGAUCAGGUAGUUGGUGGGGUAAAGGCUCACCAAGCCAAAGAUCUGUAGCUGGUAUGAGAGGACGACCGGCCAAACUGGAACUGAGACACGGGCCAGCGUCCAACGGGAGGCAGCAGUGGGGAAUUGUUGACAAUGGGCGAAAGCCUGAUCCAGCCAGUCCGCGUGCAGGAUGAAGGCCCUCGGGUUGUAAACUGCUUUUGUACAGAACGAAAAGGUUUCUACUAAUACUAGGAGCUCACGACGGUACUGUAAGAAUAAGUACCGGCUAACUACGUGCCAGCCGCCGCGGUAA
rnacentral:rRNA from 1 species